UACGUAGGGUGCGAGCGUUAAUCGGAAUAACUGGGCGUAAAGGGCACGCAGGCGGGCUUUUAAGCGAGAUGUGAAAUCCCCGGGCUUAACCUGGGAACAGCAUUUCAGACUGUGAGUCUAGAGUACUUUAGGGGGGGGUAGAAUUCCCGGUGUAGCGGUGAAAUGCGUAGAGAUGUGGAGGAAUACCGGAGGCGAAGGCAGCCCCCUGGAAAGGUACUGACGCUAAGGUGCGAAAGCGUGGGGAGCAAACAGG
rnacentral:rRNA from 1 species